ensembl:lncRNA
AUCAAUGGUCGGCACGUCCGGUAGCAUCUCUGGCUGCUGUUGACCUUAUUUUUGGAGUAAAACACGGUGGAAGCUGAAUUAGUGAGGAUGACUCCUGCUCCUGUCAUCUCUAAGCUCCUCACACAUCUUUACCUGCACAUGAGGAAAAUCACUCCUGUAGAAUGCAGUGGUUCAUCAGAACCUCUGGAGAUGUCCUGUGGAUUCUGUGGAUCCUGUGGGUUGCAGGGUGGGUCCUACCUAGACCAGGCUGAUCCUGGACCAUCCCACAGAUGCUCAAUCAGAUGUGGAUGUGGGGAGUGUGGAACCCAGAUGUUCAGAGGGAGAUGAUGCCACAUCUGGUCCAGCCGAUGGAAGGUGUUGAAGUUCUCUGACUGGUCUGGACUGAAGAUGGUCGUCUCACUGGAUUUAAGAUGCACAAUGAGGGACGUCUGCAGAGACUGAGAAAGAGUCUCACCACAUCCUGACAUGAGGAAAAAGACUUUAUUGAAGACUACAAUGAGAAAAACUAUCAGACAGCAGACUGCUGCAUUCAAGGUGAGCUCUGAACAUUUGAUCUGGAACAGGAAUUCAGUAACGGC